rnacentral:tRNA from 1 species
GCCUGGGUGGCUCAGUUGGUUAAGCUUCUGACUUCAGCUUAGAUAAGGAUCUCAAGGUUUGUGAGUUUGAGCCCCACAUCAGGCU